GAGUUUGAUCCUGGCUCAGGACGAACGCUGGCGGCGUGCUUAACACAUGCAAGUCGAGCGGAGAUUUAUGAUUAGCUUGCUAAAUAUAAAUCUUAGCGGCGGACGGGUGAGUAACACGUGGGCAACCUGCCCUAUACAGGGGAAUAGCCAACCGAAAGGUUGAUUAAUACCGCAUAACCCAAGUUUAUGGCAUCAUAGACUUGGCAAAGGAGAAAUCCGGUAUAGGAUGGGCCCGCGACCCAUUAGUUAGUUGGUGAGGUAACGGCUCACCAAGACCACGAUGGGUAGCCGAUCUGAGAGGAUGAACGGCCACAUUGGAACUGAGACACGGUCCAGACUCCUACGGGAGGCAGCAGUGGGGAAUAUUGCGCAAUGGGGGAAACCCUGACGCAGCAACGCCGCGUGAAGGAUGAAGGCCUUCGGGUCGUAAACUUCUGUCUUUAGGGACGAUAAUGACGGUACCUAAGGAGGAAGCCACGGCUAACUACGUGCCAGCAGCCGCGGUAAUACGUAGGUGGCGAGCGUUGUCCGGAAUUACUGGGCGUAAAGGGUGCGUAGGCGGCUAUUUAAGUCAGAUGUGAAAUUCCGGGGCUCAACCUCGGAAUUGCAUUUGAAACUGGGUAGCUAGAGUGCAGGAGAGGAAAGCGGAAUUCCUAGUGUAGCGGUGAAAUGCGUAGAUAUUAGGAAGAACACCAGUGGCGAAGGCGGCUUUCUGGACUGUAACUGACGCUGAGGCACGAAAGCGUGGGGAGCAAACAGGAUUAGAUACCCUGGUAGUCCACGCUGUAAACGAUGAGUGCUAGGUGUAAGGGGGUAUCGACUCCCUCUGUGCCGCAGUAAACGCAAUAAGCACUCCGC
rnacentral:rRNA from 1 species